UGCCAGCCGCCGCGGUAAUACGGAGGGGGCUAGCGUUAUUCGGAAUUACUGGGCGUUAAGCGCGCGUAGGCGGAUUAGUAAGUCAGUGGUGAAAGCCCGGGGCUCAACCCCGGAACUGCCUUUGAUACUGCUAGUCUUGAGUUCGAGAGAGGUGAGUGGAAUUUCUAGUGUAGAGGUGAAAUUCGUAGAUAUUAGAAAGAACACCAGUGGCGAAGGCGGCCUCCUGGUUCAAUACUGACGCUGAGGUGCGAAUGCGUGGGGAGCAAACAGGAUUAGAUA
rnacentral:rRNA from 1 species